GAGAUAUGUUUAUAUGUGUUUGGUCCCUCAUUGGAGUCCACCUGUGUAGGUUCGGACCCGAGGAACCAAGGACCCCAGCAGUGAGCCAGCUGCUGAGAGUUUGACAGAGUCAGCCAGAGGUGAGUGGAACUAUACUUAACCUUUUUUUAAAUUAAUAAAGUGAAUGUUUUAUCAUGUUUCAUGCAUCAUGACUAUAAUAUAGGUUGUUUGCAUUAGAAUCACGAAUAUGCUACAUUGCAUUAUUAUAUUGUGGUUGAUGAGGAGGGACAUUGCACGACUCACUAGUCCUGUGUACGAAGUCCUGUGGUGCCCAUAAUAGGGCCGGGCAAUAGCUCCGAGUUACGAAGUCCUGUGGUGCCCAUAAUAGGGCCGGGCAAUACGAAGUCCUGUGGUGUCCAUAAUAGGGCCGGGCAUGGAGCUGAGGAAUUUUUGAGUCAGUCCGUCCAUGAUGUGAAAUGUUUGUGCAAUGAUGCAUUCCAUUAUAGCAUGUUUUAAAUAUUCUUUUUAUAGUUCUACUCACUGGGCAUCUAGCUCACCCCUCUCCCCUAACCCCCAGGUUUGCAGGUACGGGAUUGAUAGAGAAGCAAAGAAGAGAAAAGUCAUAUGUAUGUAAUAGUUAGAGUUUGUGGACAUGACAAUGAUAAGAAUGUAAUGUAGAGUUUUGAACAGUUGUGUAAUUAUGUUAUUGAGGAUAGAGUUGUGCUUGACUAUAAUGUAUUGCUAAUCCCUUUUAUUUUAUGUACAUGAUCUUAUGAUAUGAUGUUUAUGCAAAA
rnacentral:lncRNA from 1 species